rnacentral:rRNA from 1 species
UGAAUACGAGAUGCUACGGCGUCGAAGCAGUCUAUGUCAUACUUCCAAGAAAAGCUUGCACUGUCAUAAACAAAUAAUGCCUGUACCAUAACCGACACAGGUGGGUAGGUAGAGUAUACUAAGGGGCGCGAGAUAACUCUCUCUAAGGAACUCGGCAAAAUGACUCCGUAACUUCGGGAGAAGGAGUGCCUUAUUUUAUAAGGUUGCAAUAACAAGAUCCAAGCAACUGUUUACCAAAAACACAGGUCUCCGCUAAGUCGUAAGACGAUGUAAGGGGGCUGACGCCUGCCCAGUGCCAGAAGGUUAAAGAAGUUGGUUAGCAUCCGCGAAGCUGAUAACUGAAGCCCUGGUGAACGGCGGCCGUAACAAUAACGGUCCUAAGGUAGCGAAAUUCCUUGUCGGGUAAGUUCCGACCCGCACGAAAGGCGUAAUGAUUUGGAUACUGUCUCAGAGAGGGGCUCGGUGAAAUAGACUUGUCUGUGAAGAUGCGGACUACCUGCACCAGGACAGAAAGACCCUAUGAAGCUUUACUGUAACUUGAAAUUGAAAUUGGACUUUACUUGCGCAGUAUAGGUGGGAGGCGUUGAGAAUAUUCUUGCGGGAAUGUUGGAGCCAUCAGUGAGAUACCACUCUUGUAAUGUUAGAUUUCUAACUUUGUAUCAUUAUCUGGUCAAAGGACAGUUUCAGGCGGGCAGUUUGACUGGGGCGGUCGCCUCCCAAACGGUAACGGAGGCGCACAAAGGUUUCCUCUGAACGGGUAGAAAUCGUAUCUAGAGUGUAAAGGCAUAAGGAAGCUUGACUGUGAGACCUACAAGUCGAGCAGGGACGAAAGUCGGUCUUAGUGAUCUGACGGUGCUGAGUGGAAAGGCCGUCACUCAACGGAUAAAAGUUACUCUAAGGAUAACAGGCUGAUCUCCCCCAAGAGUUCACAUCGACGGGGAGGUUUGGCACCUCGAUGUCGGCUCAUCGCAUCCUGGGGCGGUAGUACGUCCCAAGGGUUGGGCUGUUCGCCCAUGAAAGCGGUACGCGAGCUGGGUUCAGAACGUCGUGAGACAGUUCGGUCCAUAUCCGGUGUAGGCGUUAGAAUAUUGAGAGGAGCCUUCUUUAGUACGAGAGGACCGAGAAGGACAUACCUCUGGUGUACCAGUUAUCGUGCCAACGGUAAACGCUGGGUAGCUAUGUAUGGAGUGGAUAACCGCUGAAAGCAUCUAAGUGGGAAGCCCACCUCAAGAUAAGUA